rnacentral:rRNA from 1 species
UACGUAGGGUGCGAGCGUUAAUCGGAAUUACUGGGCGUAAAGAGUGCGUAGGCGGUUCUUGAAGUCCGCUGUGAAAGCCCCGGGCUUAACCUGGGAAUGGCAGUGGAAACUGGGGGACUUGAAUUGAGCAGAGGGGGGUGGAAUGCCGCGUGUAGCAGUGAAAUGCGUAGAGAUGUGGAGGAACACCGAUGGCGAAGGCAGCCUCCUGGGCCAACACUGACGCUCAUGCACGAAAGCGUGGGGAGCAAACAGG